rnacentral:lncRNA from 1 species
GUCAUGAUGGCCAAGUGAGCCACCGAACCAUAAUCUGAAGGCGGAGAAGAUUGUGCAUUGCAUAUUAGUCAAGAUGCAACUCUUAUUUCAUCAACUUGCUGUGAAACAUUCUAUUAGCUGUAGUUGCUAAAAGGACAGUGCAGUUCCUGCUAUGUUCUUCUCUCCUGUGUGUUUUCAGAUCUCUUGUUUUAUGUGAACCUGUAAUGCUUAUCCUGCCUGGUGUGUACUGGUUGCAGUUGCUCCCUUAUGUAGUUAUAUUUUUUUUUCAUCAACUUCCGCUUGACUCAGUAUUAUUUGGAUGGCUGGCUAUUUCUAUUGCCAUGGUAUAUUUGUUCAGUUGAUAGGUGCUACUGUGCUUCAAUGCAAAUUUAUUCAAUCUGAAUUGCUACUG